rnacentral:rRNA from 1 species
CACGUGGGUGAUCUGCCCUGCACUUUGGGAUAAGCCUGGGAAACUGGGUCUAAUACCGGAUAGGACCACGGGAUUCAUGGGCUGUGGUGGAAAGCUUUUGCGGGGUGGGAUGGGCCCGCGGCCUAUCAGCUUGUUGGUGGGGUAAUGGGCUACCAAGGCGACAACAGGUAGCCGGCCUGAGAGGGUGACCGGCCACACUGGGACUGAGAUACGGCCCACACUCCUACGGGAGGGAGCAGUGGGGAAUAUUGCACAAUGGGCGCAAGCCUGAUGCAGCGACCCCCCGUGAGGGAUGACGGCCUUCGGGUUGUAAACCUCUUUCUCCAGGGACGAAACGCAAGUGACGGUACCUGGAGAAAAAAGACCGGCCAACUACGUGCCAGCAGCCGCGGGAAUACAUAGGGUCCGAGCGUUGUCCGGAAUUACUGGGCGUAAAGAGCUCGUAAGUGGGUUGUCG